AUGCGGGUGUGAAUGUGUACAUGUACACGAAUGUGAGUGUGAGUGUGCAUGAGCGUGAGCGUGCGUGUGCGUGCGAGUGUGCACGAGCGUGACUGUGAGUGUGCGUGCGUGGAAGCGCGGCGGGGAGCCUGGCUGAAGGCCUGCUGCCUGCAUGGCUGUCAGAGAAAAACAGAAGUGGGAGCCUGCUGCGGGCUCCGAGAGGACUUGAUGGGAGCCCUGGCGCGCGCUGGGCACCGCGCGGAGAACAAUAUUGCCAAGAAUAUCUGGAUGGAUGGAGGUGGCCGGCAAAUCGUCAGAAGCAACUCAGACAGUCCAGAGGAGGAUGGUGCAGAGCCAGAGGAGGCACAGGGAGGCGGCAGGCAGAUCUGAGAGGCAUCACCAAGGCAGCGCUAAGGAAGGAGGGUAGGGACAGUGACUGCCUCGGGCUGCUGCAGCUCAGGAGGCCGAAUGAUGCCCUUCACCAAGCAACACACGAUUAUAGGUUUAAUUGUUUUCAAAAGACUUCGCCCUGCUCUGUAGGAUUGGCGGCUCGAUUGGCAUUCUGCCUGCUUCACAGAUGUGCCAGCCGAGGCUUGGACAAAUGCAGUAAUUUGCCUGUGAUCUUGUAGCUAGCAAGGGCUGAAACCAGAACUAGGGCCUCUGCUCCAAACUGAGCGCUGUUUUGACUGUUCCACAGCUACUUCCCAGGACCCCACAGAACAGCCAAUGCAGGGAACUGUGCCCCCAUCCGCUUCCUUUGGGACUGCCUUCCUCUGUCCCCUUGGUGCUCAGGGCCCUACGUUUUGCCUCUGUUGGGGCCGGCUGCUGACUGGCACUGCCUGGUGCCCUCCUGGCUCCUCCCACAGUUUCCCAGACCCCCGAGGUCCCAGCACUCACACUGCGGGGCCGACAAACAGCAGGUGUCCUUGCGUCUGACUAAAAUGACAUCCACUUAGUGUGGUGACAUUGGUUAUUCUGGGUUGCCCAGAUGCUUAACUCGUUGUUGAAUGUGAGAACUGGGGAGAACUAAUUUCUUCUUAAUUCAUGUCCUCUUUGUUAGUGGAACAAUUUCAUUUCAAAAUGAAAACACACUUGGGAGAAAUUUUUAAAAAGGGAUUCUAGUAGUGAAGAGAUGGAGAACAGCUGUUCAGGAAUCUUUAUUCCUUUCCACUCUGCCCCAGCUCCCUGGAUCCUACCCCAGCACCCCAGGCCAUUUAAUCACUCUGUUCCCUGCCCUUUCUGAGCUCUUCCUUCCUUAAUUGCUCAUAACUAGCAUCUCAACACUUCAUGAUUGUCUCCCAGAUACGGGUUGGGGUUGUCAUCCAGUGGGAACCUGGGUUUUCUAGCUGGUGAAGACACUCCUGCAGGCAUGAACCUUGUUUUGGUUUGGUUGUUACUCUCUGUUUCCGCAUACCCUCCACAGUGCUUGAGACAUAAUAGUAGCUCAACAGAGAGGGUGCCGUGGCUCACACCUGUAAUCCCAGUACCUUGGGAGGCCAAGGUGGGCAGAUCGCUUGAGUGCAAGAGUUCAAGAUCAGACUGGACAACAUAUUGAAACCUCAUGUCUACCAC
ensembl:lncRNA LINC03010 long intergenic non-protein coding RNA 3010